rnacentral:rRNA from 1 species
UACAGAGGGCUCAAGCGUUGUUCGGAUUUAUUGGGCGUAAAGGGUGCGUAGGCGGCUCUGUAAGUCGGGUGUGAAAUUUCGGAGCUUAACUCCGAAACUGCAUUCGAUACUGCGGUGCUUGAGGACUGGAGAGGAGACUGGAAUUCAUGGUGUAGCAGUGAAAUGCGUAGAUAUCAGGAGGAACACCGGUGGCGAAGGCGGAUCUCUGGGCCAUUACUGACGCUGAGGAGCGAAAGCGUGGGGAGCGAACAGG